UUAUAAGAGACAGCAGCAGCCGCGGGAAUACAGAGGGUGCGAGCGUUAAUCGGAUUUACUGGGCGUAAAGCGUGCGUAGGCGGCUUUUUAAGUCGGAUGUGAAAUCCCUGAGCUUAACUUAGGAAUUGCAUUCGAUACUGGGAAGCUAGAGUAUGGGAGAGGAUGGUAGAAUUCCAGGUGUAGCGGUGAAAUGCGUAGAGAUCUGGAGGAAUACCGAUGGCGAAGGCAGCCAUCUGGCCUAAUACUGACGCUGAGGUACGAAAGCAUGGGGAGCAAACAGGAUUAGAUACCCCCGUAGUCCCUGUCUCUUAUAC
rnacentral:rRNA from 1 species